UACGUAGGGUGCGAGCGUUAUCCGGAUUCACUGGGUUUAAAGGGUGCGUAGGUGGGCAAGUAAGUCAGUGGUGAAAUCUCCGGGCUUAACCCGGAAACUGCCAUUGAUACUAUUUGUCUUGAAUACUGUGGAGGUCAGCGGAAUAUGUCAUGUAGCGGUGAAAUGCUUAGAUAUGACAUAGAACACCAAUUGCGAAGGCAGCUUACUACACAAUUAUUGACGCUGAGGCACGAAAGCGUGGGGAUCAAACAGG
rnacentral:rRNA from 1 species